AGUGACUCAGACCAAUACAGGUGUUAACAACUGUGGGGGAAAAAACAAUUAACGUAUAAACUGUCAGCUCUACAAAAGAAGACAGCUAACUACAAAAGGCUAAUGGAUGAUUAGUGUUACAUAUGGUGAAGGUUUUAUAUACAUUACAUGGAGAUGGAAUCCUAUCGAAAUACCCAUAAUGGAGGAAUGGAUCGUGAAGAUACUUAAGUUUGCAGAAAUGGCCAAAUUGAUGUUUUAUUAAGGAGGGAGCUACAGUUAUUUUUAUAAAAGACUGGAAAUACUUUAUGGACAUUUUUGCUGAAAAUGGAUAAAAAUGAACUGGUGAUUUUGGGAUUUACUUAAAUUAUAAAACCUUUAAAUUAUAAAGGUUUAUUUAUUGGAAGAAAGAACCAUGCAAUGUAAUUUGGGAGGAUGGAGAUGGUAAUUACUGUGUUUGAAACUGCUGCAAAGAAGAUCGGUUCUUUAGAUACUUUUCUUUUUCUAGUUAUCUGUCUCUUUUUCUUUAAUUCCUUGCCAUAUGUUAAAUAAAUAAAAUCUUUAACUCCUA